GACCAAGGUUCGACUCGAGCGAAGCGAGAGAACGUUGCCGCAGGCAAUGGCCCGAAGGCGAGGCGCUUUAGCGCCGAGUAAUCCUUCCCCCACCACUU
rnacentral:sRNA from 1 species